rnacentral:misc_RNA from 1 species
AAUGAAAAAAAUAAGGCAAAACGGAGGUCUAACAAGCAUAAAAAUGAAGGCAAGAAAAGAGGAGGUGGUUUUAGCAAAUUAUGUAUUCUUUCCCCUCAACUUCAGGAAUUCCUUGGGGUGCCUCAAUUAGCUAGAACUAAGGUUGUCAAUCAACUUUGGAUUUACAUUAGAGAAAAAAAUUUGCAAGACCCAGAUAAUCGGCGGUACAUAAUUUGUGAUGAACCAUUACGUGCCC